rnacentral:lncRNA from 1 species
CAGAGUUUGUGGGUUUGGACUUUCAAAGUGAACUCAGACCUUUUGGCAUUUGUGUUCUCUUUGUGGUGGACAAAAUGCAAACUUCUAUUUGAAAAGGGGGAAAGAAAGCGGUCUAAAUGGCUUUAAGGUUUUUGAACAUCAAAUAGGUCUUACCAAAGAACAGUACAAUCACUGAAGUGUGUCUGAAUCAAAAAAUACAUGGAUUUGACAGCAAUCUGAUUUAGAAAAUAUCCAGAGCCAUUUCGUGGUUAUCAUGGUUCCAAGUUAAACAGAAAGCUCCGUCUUGCCUUCUUCUCCCCAUUAAUUAAUUCCUGACUGGGUAUUCCUGCUCUUCCAAGGGCAUGCCAGUGGACACACAUUGUGGAGCUUCACCAUUUAGGAAAUACUGUUGGUAAGACGGAGAGGUUUGGAAGGGUGGGUGGUGUGGGGGCAGGCCUGGCUGGAGCUGCCGUCUCUCAUAUGGCCCAAGUCAGCAGCAGCAACAAUUGUAGGUACUUUCAGCCUGGAAGUUUCACAAUGGGCAAAGGAGGAAGCCAUAGACUUCUCAAAAACCACUAUGAAAUCUGCCUACGAGCUGACCUGAGGUUUUUACAAUUGUCACAUUAUAUUUUUCAAAAGUGGCCUCAAUAAUAAGUCCUAUCCUGCAUGCUCUCCUGCAUUGUGAGCUUG